UAUCAAAAACAUAGCUUCUAGCACACCAAACAUUAGAAGUAACGCCUGCCCUGUGGAAACCCUAAACGGCCGCGGCACUAAAACCGUGCAAAGGUAGCACAAUCACUUGUCCAUUAAAUGAGGACCCGUAUGAAAGGCAACAUGAGAGAAAACCUGUCUCCUAAGGCCCGCCAAUGAAAUUGUACUACCAGUACAAAAACUGAUAUCUCAAAGCAAGACAAAAAGACCCUGUGGAACUUUUAACAAAUUGUUUAAACACGUAAACAACAGUUUCAGUUGGGACAACUUUAGAAAAAAUAAACUUCUUAAUUUACCAAGACAAACAAGUCUAAGACAACACAGAUCCAGUAAUACUGAUUAACGAAACAAGCUACCCCAGGGAUAACAGCGCCACCUUCUCAAAGAGUCCAUAUCAACAAGAAGAUCUACGACCUCGAUGUUGGAUCAGGGUACCCAGACGGUGCAACAGCUGUCAAUGGUUCGUUUGUUCAACGAUUAAUACCCUACGUGAUCUGAGUU
rnacentral:rRNA from 1 species